rnacentral:tRNA from 1 species
UAGCUCAGUGGUAGAGCGCUUGCCUUGCAUGCCUGAGGCCCUGGGUUCGAUUCCCCAG